rnacentral:rRNA from 1 species
GAUGAACGCUGGCGGCGUGCCUAAUACAUGCAAGUCGAGCGAACGGACGAGAAGCUUGCUUCUCUGAUGUUAGCGGCGGACGGGUGAGUAACACGUGGAUAACCUACCUAUAAGACUGGGAUAACUUCGGGAAACCGUAGCUAAUACCGGAUAAUAUUUUGAACCGCAUGGUUCAAUAGUGAAAGACGGUCUUGCUGUCACUUAUAGAUGGAUCCGCGCUGCAUUAUCUAGUUGGUAAGGUAACGGCUUACCAAGGCAACGAUGCAUAGCCGACCUGAGAGGGUGAUCGGCCACACUGGAACUGAGACACGGUCCAGACUCCUACGGGAGGCAGCAGUAGGGAAUCUUCCGCAAUGGGCGAAAGCCUGACGGAGCAACGCCGCGUGAGUGAUGAAGGUCUUCGGAUCGUAAAACUCUGUUAUUAGGGAAGAACAUAUGUGUAAGUAACUGUGCACAUCUUGACGGUACCUAAUCAGAAAGCCACGGCUAACUACGUG